rnacentral:RNase_P_RNA from 1 species
UUUGCAGGCCGUUCUAUCGCUACGCAGCAAUGCGGAGAGGAAAGUCCGGGCAACAUAGAGCAACGCGCUUCCUAACGGGAAGGAUUUGGGGUUAAACCUGAAUACGGAAAGUGCCACAGAAAAUAACCGUCUCGAUUUAUCGGGAUAAGGGUGAAAAUGUGAGGUAAGAGCUCACAACUUUGGUAGGUGACUACUAAGGGGGGUAAACCCUGCGUGUUGAAAGACCAAAUAAGCCGGAGCAUGUUCAUUUAUUUGAACAUUAAGGGUUGCUCGCCUGAUUCCGGUGGGUAGGUCGCUAGAGCCUGGAGGCAACUCCUGGCCCAGAUAAAUGAUAGAACUCGACAGAAUCCGGCUUACAGGCCUGCAAUUUUU